rnacentral:rRNA from 1 species
ACGGGAGGCAGCAGUGGGGAAUAUUGCGCAAUGGGGGAAACCCUGACGCAGCAACGCCGCGUGAAGGAAGAAGGUCUUCGGAUUGUAAACUUCUUUUAAAAGGGACGAACUAAAUGACGGUACCUUUUGAAUAAGCCACGGCUAACUACGUGCCAGCAGCCGCGGUAAUACGUAGGUGGCGAGCGUUGUCCGGAAUUACUGGGUGUAAAGGGCGAGUAGGCGGGUGUGCAAGUCAGAUGUGAAAUGCCGGGGCUUAACCCCGGAGCUGCAUUUGAAACUGCAUAUCUUGAGUGAUGGAGAGGCAGAUGGAAUUCCCGGUGUAGCGGUGGAAUGCGUAGAUAUCGGGAGGAACACCAGUGGCGAAAGCGGUCUGCUGGACAUUAACUGACGCUGAGGAGCGAAAGCGUGGGGAGCAAACAGGAUUAGAUACCCUGGUA